rnacentral:rRNA from 1 species
CCUACGGGUGGCAGCAGUGAGGAAUAUUGGUCAAUGGGCGCGAGCCUGAACCAGCCAAGUAGCGUGAAGGAUGACUGCCCUACGGGUUGUAAACUUCUUUUAUAAGGGAAUAAAGUGAGGCACGUGUGCCCUUUUGUAUGUACCUUAUGAAUAAGGAUCGGCUAACUCCGUGCCAGCAGCCGCGGUAAUACGGAGGAUCCGAGCGUUAUCCGGAUUUAUUGGGUUUAAAGGGAGCGUAGGUGGUUUGUUAAGUCAGUUGGGAAAGUUUGCGGCUCAACCGUAAAAUUGCAGUUGAUACUGGCAGUCUUGAGUACAGUAGAGGUAGGCGGAAUUCGUGGUGUAGCGGUGAAAUGCUUAGAUAUCACGAAGAACUCCGAUUGCGAAGGCAGCUUACUAGACUGCCACUGACAUUGAUGCUCGAAAGUGUGGGUAUCAAACAGGAUUAGAUACCCUAGUAGUC